rnacentral:lncRNA from 1 species
GUGAAGUGGUAGUUAGUUAACUUCGAUUUUUUUAGGUAUAGGAAACCUAAUUUCUUGUAAAAUUAUGCUUUUGUUCCCGUCUUUGUUUCAUUUAUAUGAGUUAAGUUUCUUUUUUUAACUUUUUCUAUGAAUUUUGGUGAAUUACAUAAGUGUCAAUUUUUAAAAAUAGACAUCUGUCAAAAUUAGUUUCACUCAAGAUACAUAUCUAAGAAUCAAAAUUUUGAAAAAAAAAAUCACCAGAAAACUAUUUUAACAGGUUAGCGUUCAAAUUUAAUAUAUCAAGCUGUUAUAAAAUAUAUUGCAAACUCGAAAUAUAAAUGUCUGUCUAGUAUAUAUUCACCAGCUCGGUCUAAAAAUCAUCUAAUUCAAUAACAACAAAACAAAUUACUUAUUUCACCAGUUUGGGUAAUAUCUUAAUCUGAACGGGUAAUAUCUGAACCCGAAUGGAUAUUUAUUUAUAGUUUACUUCUCUCAUUUUAUUCAAAAUAUUUAUAUUAAUGAUGUUUAUUGCUCAAAAUUAGAUAAUAUACAUAUAAUUAUUGACAAAAUCAUUUGCUACUCACUUAAAAUAGGUCUUGUUUCUUGCAUUAACAAAAGUUGCAUCUAAAAUUUUCAAAACAACAAUUAAAUUAGUGUAUUUC